rnacentral:rRNA from 1 species
CCUACGGGAGGCAGCAGUGGGGAAUAUUGGGCAAUGGGAGAGAGCCUGACCCAGCAACGCCGCGUGAAGGAAGAAGGCUUUCGGGUUGUAAACUUCUUUUGACAGGGAAGAGCAGAAGACGGUACCUGUCGAAUAAGCCACGGCUAACUACGUGCCAGCAGCCGGGGGAAUACGUAGGUGGCAAGCGUUGUCCGGAUUUACUGGGUGUAAAGGGCGUGUAGCCGGGCUGACAAGUCAGAUGUGAAAGCCGGGGGCUCAACCCCCGAACUGCAGUUGAAACUGUUGGUCUUGAGUAGCGGAGAGGUAGGCGGAAUGCGUAGUGUAGCGGUGAAAUGCGUAGAUAUUAGGAGGAACACCAGUUGCGAAGGCGGCCUGCUGGACGACAACUGACGGUGAGGCGCGAAAGCGUGGGGAGCAAACAGGAUUAGAUACCCGUGUAGUC